ACAGGGCCCGAGUGUUGCUUCUGUCUUCAAUGUGUCUAUUAGAAGAGAAGGUGAAGGAUCACCAGAGAUGAAACAGGGUGGGCUUUCAAGGUUUGGAAGCUUUGGAAGGUCACAAGAGCCAGAAGAGGCCCAGAACCUGGCAUCCCGCCUCAGAGUCUGCUGGCAGCUGGGUCUAGUGGGAGUGUGGUCCUAAGCUUUUCUUUUUGCGAUGAACAUAAAAUUUUCUGCCUGGAGUCUGGGGCUCAGCAAGGGAGAAAAAAAGCCAGACCAGAAAAUCCGUCGUGGAAGCCAUCCCAGGAGCUUGGCCAGCAAGUGGUUCCUUGAACUGAAUUGCUCCAUAGUCCAACAGGUCAGACCAAACCUUCUGAGAUAAUUUUUGCGUGUUGGAAUGGAUUAUGCCAUGCAUGAUAAUAUCAGCCAACCGGACUACAGAGAACCAGGACUUCGUCUUGGCUACAUUUUGGGGUCUUCUGCUCUACCCAUAGUCUUCUUGGUGAAAAGAGUUACACUAAGGCUUACAUAGUGAGAGUUACAAUUUUCUUGGCCUUUCAAUUCUAAAGACAGAAAAGUUUAAUUCUAGGCUUAUGUAAGCAGUUAGGAGCUUCUCUUCUUAUGAAGAAAUACUGGAAGACUGGCCUUUUAUGACACACGUUGUGAUGUCUGGAAUGGAUAGGAGCAAAACGUUACGAUGUGUUGAACCCGAGACUUGGAAGCACAACUGGGUUCCAGUAGAGGAGAUGUGGCUAGACAUGAGAAAGAGAGAAGGAUUUCAGAGAAUGGCAAACGUAAAAUAAGUCAACUUGGCAGCCGAGAAAGCUAACGCAAUGUUAGGCUGCAUUGAAAGGCGGUGCCCAGAAUGAGAAAGGCGAUGAUCCUGCUGCUGUCUGCCAUUAGACCACAUAUGGGGCAUCAGUUUUAGGUACCAUAUUUUAGAAAGGACAUUUACAAAGGAGAGGGCGACCAGGUUGAUAAAGGAACCAGAAAUCAUAUCAAGAUGGAACUGGGAAUAUUGACUCUGGAGAAAACUUAG